GACGAACUGUCCUAACGUUGUUCGGAAUCACUGGGCUUAAAGGGUGCGUAGGCGGGCCCGUCAGUCAGGGGUGAAAUCCCACGGCCCAACCGUGGAAGUGCCUCUGAUACUGCGGGCCUGGAGGGGGAGUAGGGGCGUGCGGAACUUCCGGUGGAGCGGUGAAAUGCGUAGAUAUCGGAAGGAACACCGGUGGCGAAAGCGGCGCGCUGGAUCCCUACUGACGCU
rnacentral:rRNA from 1 species